CAACCUGCCCACCACUUGGGGAUAACCUUGCGAAAGUAAGACUAAUACCCAAUGACGUCUCUAGAAGACAUCUGAAAGGGAUUAAAGAUUUAUCGGUGAUGGAUGGGGAUGCGUCUGAUUAGCUUGUUGGCGGGGUAACGGCCCACCAAGGCAACGAUCAGUAGGGGUUCUGAGAGGAAGGUCCCCCACAUUGGAACUGAGACACGGUCCAAACUCCUACGGGAGGCAGCAGUGAGGAAUAUUGGUCAAUGGACGAGAGUCUGAACCAGCCAAGUAGCGUGCAGGAUGACGGCCCUAUGGGUUGUAAACUGCUUUUAUAAGGGAAUAAAGUUAGUCUCGUGAGACUUUUUGCAUGUACCUUAUGAAUAAGGACCGGCUAAUUCCGUGCCAGCAGCCGCGGUAAUACGGAAGGUCCGGGCGUUAUCCGGAUUUAUUGGGUUUAGAGGGAGCGUAGGCCGGAGAUUAAGCGUGUUGUGAAAUGUAGAUGCUCAACAUCUGCACUGCAGCGCGAACUGGUUUCCUUGAGUACGCACAAAGUGGGCGGAAUUCGUGGUGUAGCGGUGAAAUGCUUANGUAUCACGAAGAACUCCGAUUG
rnacentral:rRNA from 1 species